AUCAUAAUCUAAAUAAUCAUCUCCUUGGAAUUUAUCCAAAAGUAAAUUCAUUAAUAAAUUAGUUUUACCACAUCCAGACUUUCCUAUAAUACAUGCUCUUAUUGAAUUGGGAAGUAAAGAAUUAUUGUUUCUAUUUGAGUAAUAAUUUUUAACAGAAUAAUCAGUGAAGUCAGACUUUUGCAGCAUGAUUUAAUACAAUUAAUUUAAUCAAUAUGUUAAUAAAAAUUUUUAUUCAUUAAAUGGCUCACUUAUUCCUUAAUC
ensembl:ncRNA Y26D4A.25 ncRNA